rnacentral:tRNA from 1 species
GGGGGCGUAGCUCAAUGGCGAGAGCACCUGCUUUGCAAGCAGGGGGUUAGGGGUUCGAGUCCCCUCGCCUCCACCA